AGGUACCACGCGUCCACUGCGGUUCUGAGCGCGCUGUCCGCGCCCACCUGACAGCUGCUCNUGUGUUAGCC
rnacentral:sRNA from 1 species